CGCUUUCGGGUGUCGCUGAUGGAUGGACCCGCGGUGCAUUAGCUAGUUGGUGAGGUAACGGCUCACCAAGGCCACGAUGCAUAGCCGACCUGAGAGGGUGAUCGGCCACAUUGGGACUGAGACACGGCCCAAACUCCUACGGGAGGCAGCAGUAGGGAAUCUUCGGCAAUGGACGAAAGUCUGACCGAGCAACGCCGCGUGAGUGAAGAAGGUUUUCGGAUCGUAAAACUCUGUUGUUAGAGAAGAACAAGGAUGAGAGUAACUGUUCAUCCCUUGACGGUAUCUAACCAGAAAGCCACGGCUAACUACGUGCCAGCAGCCGCGGUAAUACGUAGGUGGCAAGCGUUGUCCGGAUUUAUUGGGCGUAAAGCGAGCGCAGGCGGUUUCUUAAGUCUGAUGUGAAAGCCCCCGGCUCAACCGGGGAGGGUCAUUGGAAACUGGGAGACUUGAGUGCAGAAGAGGAGAGUGGAAUUCCAUGUGUAGCGGUGAAAUGCGUAGAUAUAUGGAGGAACACCAGUGGCGAAGGCGGCUCUCUGGUCUGUAACUGACGCUGAGGCUCGAAAGCGUGGGGAGCAAACAGGAUUAGAUACCCUGGUAGUCCACGCCGUAAACGAUGAGUGCUAAGUGUUGGAGGGUUUCCGCCCUUCAGUGCUGCAGCUAACGCAUUAAGCACUCCGCCUGGGGAGUACGACCGCAAGGUUGAAACUCAAAGGAAUUGACGGGGGCCCGCACAAGCGGUGGAGCAUGUGGUUUAAUUCGAAGCAACGCGAAGAACCUUACCAGGUCUUGACAUCCUUUGACCACUCUAGAGAUAGAGCUUCCCCUUCGGGGGCAAAGUGACAGGUGGUGCAUGGUUGUCGUCAGCUCGUGUCGUGAGAUGUUGGGUUAAGUCCCGCAACGAGCGCAACCCUUAUUGUUAGUUGCCAUCAUUCAGUUGGGCACUCUAGCAAGACUGCCGGUGACAAACCGGAGGAAGGUGGGGAUGACGUCAAAUCAUCAUGCCCCUUAUGACCUGGGCUACACACGUGCUACAAUGGGAAGUACAACGAGUUGCGAAGUCGCGAGGCUAAGCUAAUCUCUUAAAGCUUCUCUCAGUUCGGAUUGCAGGCUGCAACUCGCCUGCAUGAAGCCGGAAUCGCUAGUAAUCGCGGAUCAGCACGCCGCGGUGAAUACGUUCCCGGGCCUUGUACACACCGCCCGUCACACCACGAGAGUUUGUAACACCCGAAGUCGGUGAGGUAACCUUUU
rnacentral:rRNA from 1 species